UUUGUGUAGAAGUCCAAAUUUCAUAGCAUACAUAGUGCACUAUGUAGGGAGUAAGGAGACAUUUGGGACUCAGCCAUAGUCUUUAGGGCUUUCUAAAAACAUUACGCACCGCCUUCCUGGCCUCCAUGGAAUAAAAUUCAACGAACUACUCAGGCUCUCCAUCACCACAUCCGGAGCUGAGAGAGCCGUACGGUGGAGUUAAACACUUCUCGCAAAGUGGCAGAGUAAGUCAUGCUGCCAGGAAAGACCGCCCUCAGCACCCCACCACACAGACACCACCCCUCAGACAAGUACUCACUACAGCAGUUUGAGCAGUUUCAGUCGGUCAGUCUAUGGACGUUUCAGUAAGUCUUUCUUGUAUGGUAACAGUAGUGAGAUCUGCAGCGGUUCAGAACUUUCCCCAACAGAUUUAAACCCACCGUUUAUCCUGGAUUCACACACAGCCUGAUUCUACAGCAGCUGACCGACCUCCUCCUUCAGUCACCUCGUCAUCAUGAACAGCGAAGACAAAAACAAAGAGGAGUGGAUUUCAGAACCCAUCUGUAAACAGCCACGGUCAUCAUGUUCACCGUGUCCACCAUGUGACUGCUCAUGUGCAGGAGAAGAUGGGGCGUGCUCACAUUUCUGUGAGAUUUGUGUAAACAGUUGCAGUGCUAUGUGUGUGUUGUUCCCCUUGUGACCAGUAGUGGCUAAUGCACCAAAGCUCCGAUGCAGAGAUUAAAAGAAAGCUGGAGCUUCAGGACUUUCAACUGGCUACUGGGAUGGAGCUUAGCACCUGUGAGCGAUGAGGAAUGCUCCCUACUGGCCACAGAAUUACCAUCUCACAUGAUAAAUUCAUCUCAUCAUACUGACAGCUAAAGAUAAUCAACAU